rnacentral:scRNA from 1 species
AUCGUGGCGAACGCUUUGGCGAACGAUUGAAU